rnacentral:lncRNA from 1 species
UUUAUCUUGGUCGGCCAAAGAGAGAAAAAGAGAAAAAAAAGAAGAACAAAAACCCUAGAGAGAAAAAUUCAAAGGGAAAUUGUUGAUUUUCAAGGAAUCAAGCCAUUAAAGGUAAAAUUUCUUAAUUCUAGCUUGUGAUCUACCUUUCCUAUACAUUAUUUUGCAUUUUCCAUGGUUGAAUCAUAAGAUAUCAUGAAGGAUAGUGUGCUGAUCAAACCUUAGAAGAGAGAAUUUGAUGAUGAAUUUAGUUAAAAAACAUGUUAUUCUAAUGUUUUUAGUUGUUUGGUGAUGUGUAAUAUGAAAAGCAAGCACGAAAAAUUCAUGUUCUUACAUCACCUUCAUUGGUCGAAUAUUCCAUGUGGAAUAUUGACGAUGAAUUUGAUUGAAUUUCAAGUGAUUUGAUUAAGAAUGAAUGUUUAUGGUGAGAUAAUCAAGCAUGAAAAAUUAUAUUGUUAGUGCACUCACCAUGGCCGAAUUUUUCAAGAGAAAAUGUGAGGAUGAUUUUGCCACAUUUCAAGUUAUUUAAAUUGUGUUUAAUGAUUUGGAGUAUUGGGAGAGAAAUGGAAUUGUUUGGAGUUGAAUUGGACGUAUUGGCCAAUUAAUCGCGUGAUAGAUCGAAAUAGGCUAAUACCAUUUUAUUUAGGUACAUAAUUGAAUUUAUAUUGAACACCGUAUUUAGAUAGUUACCAGAGUAUUUCACAUCCCAUUUCAUGCAUUAGUAUAGAGCCUGAAUUUGUUUCACAACAGUUUAGCACAAAUGUAGCAAAUUGCUUAUUGUGCAAUAUGUCUAGGUGGUGAGCAUUCUGGCAAGAGUAAAGAGGUAGUAUCUGAGGAUCAAGAAUCAGAGUAUCCCGAAUUCGAUUUCCAUUACAAUGAGUAGCUUUAUUAUCGCCUUAAUUAUCUAAAGUAUGUUUUUAUCCGAUUUUGUAAUUUUAUGGAAAAUGUGUUUAAAUGAAAUGAUUUUAUAAAUUGUUUUGAAAUUUAAUGAUGACUUGAAAAUGGAGUAAUUGGAGACUACUUGCUGUAUUGUAAAUUAUGUCUUGAAUUGAAUGGCUUAUGAUAAUGUGGGCAUGAAUGGCUGGAUCGGUAUUUGUGUUGAAAAUGUAUAAACUGUUGUUUGCCUUGAUAGGCUGGAUAAUGAUAAAAUUGUCAUGUCAUGCUGUUGAAUUUUUAUUGAAUUGGUGGGUUAUAGAUUGGUCACUACA